GUGUUUACUUUGGCAGCACAUAUACUAAAAUUGGAAUGAUACAGAGAAGAUUAGCAUGGUCCCUGAGCAAGGAUUACACACAAAUUCAUGAAGUGCUCUAUAUUUUU
rnacentral:snRNA from 1 species